rnacentral:rRNA from 1 species
CUGCCGGCGACCGGCGCACGGGUGAGUAACACGUAUGCAACCUGCCCUCCGCAGGGGGAUAACCCGGAGAAAUCCGGACUAAUACCGCGUGGUACACCAGUGGGGCAUCCCACUGGUGUUAAAAGGAAGUGAUUCCGGCGGAGGAUGGGCAUGCGGCGCAUUAGCUUGUUGGCGGGGUAACGGCCCACCAAGGCGACGAUGCGUAGGGGUUCUGAGAGGAAGGUCCCCCACACUGGUACUGAGACACGGACCAGACUCCUACGGAAGGCAGCAG